rnacentral:rRNA from 1 species
CCUACGGGGUGCUGCAGUGGGGAAUAUUGGACAAUGGGCGAAAGCCUGAUCCAGCCAUGCCGCGUGUGUGAAGAAGGCCUUCGGGUUGUAAAGCACUUUCAGUGGGGAAGAAAGCCUUGGGGCUAAUACCCUCGAGGAAGGACAUCACCCACAGAAGAAGCACCGGCUAACUCCGUACCAGCAGCCGCGGUAAUACGGAGGGUGCGAGCGUUAAUCGGAAUUACUGGGCGUAAAGCGCGCGUAGGCGGUCUGAUAAGCCGGUUGUGAAAGCCCCGGGCUCAACCUGGGAACGGCAUCCGGAACUGUCAGGCUAGAGUGCAGGAGAGGAAGGUAGAAUUCCCGGUGUAGCGGUGAAAUGCGUAGAGAUCGGGAGGAAUACCAGUGGCGAAGGCGGCCUUCUGGACUGACACUGACGCUGAGGUGCGAAAGCGUGGGUAGCAAACAGGAUUAGAUACCCGGGUAGUC